rnacentral:rRNA from 1 species
UACACAUGCAAGUCGAACGAUGAAGCCCGGUGCUUGCACCGGGUGGAUUAGUGGCGAACGGGUGAGUAUCACGUGAGUAACCUGCCCUUGACUCUGGGAUAAGCCUGGGAAACUGGGUCUAAUACCGGAUACGACCAGUCACCGCAUGGUGUGCUGGUGGAAAGCUUUAGCGGUUUUGGAUGGACUCGCGGCCUAUCAGCUAGACGGUGAGGUAAUGGCUCACCGUGGCGAUGACGGGUAGCCGGCCUGAGAGGGUGACCGGCCACACUGGGACUGAGACACGGCCCAGACUCCUACGGGAGGCAGCAGUGGGGAAUAUUGCACAAUGGGCGAAAGCCUGAUGCAGCGACGCCGCGUGUGGGAUGACGGCCUUCGGGUUGUAAACCACUUUCAGCAGGGAAGAAGCUUUUUGUGACGGUACCUGCAGAAGAAGCGCCGGCUAACUACGUGCCAGCAGCCGCGGUAAUACGUAGGGCGCGAGCGUUAUCCGGAAUUAUUGGGCGUAAAGAGCUCGUAGGCGGUUUGUCGCGUCUGCUGUGAAAGCCCGGGGCUUAACCCCGGGUGUGCAGUGGGUACGGGCAGGCUAGAGUGCAGUAGGGGAGACUGGAAUUCCUGGUGUAGCGGUGAAAUGCGCAGAUAUCAGGAGGAACACCGAUGGCGAAGGCAGGUCUCUGGGCUGUUACUGACGCUGAGGAGCGAA